GUGCCAGCAGCCGCGGUAAUACGUAGGUGACAAGCGUUAUCCGGAAUUACUGGGCGUAAAGCGCACGCAGGCGGCUGAGUAAGUCUGACGUGAAAUCUCCCGGCUUAACCGGGAGCGGUCGUUGGAAACUACUUGGCUUGAGGCGAUGAGAGGGGUGUGGAAUUCCCGGUGUAGUGGUGGAAUGCGUAGAUAUCGGGAGGAACAUCAGUGGCGAAAGCGGCACCCUGGCAUUAGCCUGACGCUCAGGUGCGAAAGCGUGGGGAGCGAACGGGAUUAGAAACCCCCGUAGUCC
rnacentral:rRNA from 1 species